rnacentral:rRNA from 1 species
AGAGUGAACGCUGGCGGCAGGCCUAACACAUGCAAGUCGAACGGCAGCACAGCAGAGCUUGCUCUGUGGGUGGCGAGUGGCGGACGGGUGAGGAAUACGUCGGAAUCUGCCUUUUUGUGGGGGAUAACGUAGGGAAACUUACGCUAAUACCGCAUACGACCUACGGGUGAAAGCGGAGGACCUUCGGGCUUCGCGCAGAAAGAUGAGCCGACGUCGGAUUAGCUAGUUGGAGGGGUAAUGGCCCACCAAGGCGACGAUCCGUAGCUGGUCUGAGAGGAUGACCAGCCACACUGGGACUGAGACACGGCCCAGACUCCUACGGGAGCAGCAGUGGGGAAUAUUGGACAAUGGGCGCAAGCCUGAUCCAGCCAUGCCGCGUGUGUGAAGAAGGCCUUCGGUUGUAAAGCACUUUUGUACGGAAGAAAGCAAUCGGUUAAUACCCGGUUGUCAUGACGGUACGUAAGAAUAAGCACCGCUAACUUCGUGCCAGCAG